AAUUAUUACUUACAACACGUCUCCGUUCCAAUGGUUCGGAGCUGUCGCGGCUGCAGUGAAAGAUGUCAAUAUUAUCGUGAAACGGGUGUCAAUAUGGCUGCAUCUGAUUGGUUAAUAAUGUUCUUACGCCAGUAUUACAUCGUGUUAUUGGUUCGACUGAUGGCGAGUUAACAAACUUUUACACUAUGGUUUUGACAAAUUAUGCAGAACCUUUUGCUGGCAACAACUGGUUUAUCGUUAGAAAUAACAUAAUCAUCCCAACUUUAGAAAUCCAGGUCAUCGUAAAUUAAAUUGCAAAGUUGAACAAAUACGGGGCUUUGGCCCACCACCUACAAUGCAGUAGCCUAGAAAUGCUAAGCCCCCUGCACACUUCCUCCUAUGCAGCAUGCUAUAUGACCGCUCCGUUCCCAGAGUGCAGGCCUCCUUGUAAUUCCAAGAAUAUCAAAAACCACAGUAGGAGGCAGAGCCUUUAGCUACCAAGCCCCCCUCCUCUGGAACAAUCUCCCUGCCUCCAUCCGAGAUGCAGACACCCUACCUAUAUUCAAAUCGAGACUAAAGACAUUCCUCUUUAGUGCAUCCUAUAGCCACAAGUAAUUGCGUCAACAAACCCAUCACCUGCUGGGACAGCCAGUCAGCAAGCAUAACUAGACAUAUCUGAACACACAAGAAUUCAAAAUAAAAAUGUAUAACACUGGGCUACAGACAGCGUAUGUUCUACCCAGCAACCCUAACAAAGCUUACGACUAAAAUCUCCAUAUGUACCAAACCAAACUAAUUGCUAAAUGCCAGCAUAACUAAACACAUCUAAACACAUGCAAUACCCCCCUAAUCAACAAAACCGGGCUACAGACAGCGUAUGUUGUACCGUGAAGGAGUGCGACAGAUCCCGGGUACAGCACACGGCGCGUUUUGCGACUGUCACCAGCCAACUAAAUACUAAAUAAAAUUCCCAUACACCUAGCCAGGCAGCCUCUCUCUCUCUCUCUCUCUCUCUCUCUCUCUCUCUCUCUCUCUCUCUAUCUCCCUCUCCUUUCUUAUCACAUUGCUAAUGCCUAUAAUAACCCACUCACUCUGUUCUUUUUCUUUCUCUCCUAAUCUAGACUAUCUUCGCUAUGGGACGCUGCUGUAGUCUCUCCACCCGGUCUACCUGUAGAAACCCUCGGCCAAUUGCACCCACCGCCACCACACUGCCGUAAGUCUACCUCAUACCCUAUGCUAGCAUUUAUAUACAAUAAAUAUUAUUGCCACCAUCGACAUGUUUCUCUGUUCCUACUCCCCUUACCCCUGUAACAGUAACCCUAUGAGCACAGUGUAUACCCACUAAACUGGUCUUGUCUGUAUUAUGUAUUUACCACCGGAUGUCUGUAUAUAUAUUAUGUACAUCUACCAAAUGAAGGCUAUGCACAACACCUGUUGUUUCCCUUCCCCUUCUGCCAC
ensembl:lncRNA